CUACGGGAGGCAGCAGUGGGGAAUAUUGGACAAUGGGCGAAAGCCUGAUCCAGCCAUGCCGCGUGAGUGAAGAAGGCCCUAGGGUUGUAAAGCUCUUUCAGUGGGGAAGAUAAUGACGGUACCCACAGAAGAAGCCCCGGCUAACUCCGUGCCAGCAGCCGCGGUAAUACGGAGGGGGCUAGCGUUGUUCGGAAUUACUGGGCGUAAAGCGCACGUAGGCGGACUGUUUAGUCAGAGGUGAAAGCCCGGAGCUCAACUCCGGAAUAGCCUUUGAUACUGGCAGUCUCGAGUUCGGGAGAGGUGAGUGGAAUUCCGAGUGUAGAGGUGAAAUUCGUAGAUAUUGGGAAGAACACCAAUGGCGAAGGCAGCUUCCUGGACCGAUUCUGACGCUGAGGCGCGAAAGCGUGGGGAGCAAACAGGAUUAGAUACCCUGGUAGUCC
rnacentral:rRNA from 1 species